CAAGAAAGAGAGAAAAAUGGAAGGUAGAGAUGUUAGAAAGAAUCAAAAGUGCUGAAAGAAGAAGUCAAAAAAAAAUGAUGAAUCUGGUAAUGCCAACACUCAAAAGGAUUGAAUUAUCAUCAAGCUUGUGAUGAUGUAGAGAUAGCUGAGUGGUUUGGGUAUAGAAAGAAAGUGGAAUCAAGUUCUCUAUCUGAACAGUAGGAAAGUUUGGCAUGAUUUAAGAUGAAAGAACAUGCAAUUCUACAUAAUGUAGUGCUUAUAUAGAGGUCAAAAAAGUUAAUCAGACAAUUUUCUUAUUUUUCUUUUACUAUUCUCCAAUAUAUAUAGCUCAGUCUAGUAUUCAAGGGGUUCUUAAAAUUUUUGAUGCUUGCUUUUGACUCUUGUUGCCCUUCUUACCUAUAUAUUUACUUGAUUAUGUGAUCUUAUUGUUGAUUCCAUCCGCUAUUGUUUCUAGCUCCAGCCUGUUGUAAUCCGUCAAAGAUUUUCAGUAACUCUUUUGUGAGGAACCUCUUCAGUUUUCACGAUAUCUAGGUACAUGAACUGCCUGUAAAGUGCUGGCUAUCUGGUGAUAUUAGCUCUAGCAAUGUUCCAUAUAGGCAAUUUAUGGCGGUAGUGCUUAGCUCUGGCAAUGGUCCAUAUAAGCUGUAGGGGUUUUUGCCCUUACUAGUGAUGAUAAUUUGAGUGUUCAGAACAUACUUUCAUAAGCAAUUCAUGGCGCUAGUGCUGGGGUUGAAGAACGCUGCAAUAGAAAUCCAUGGUAUUUGGGAAGGAUUAGCCAAAGCUAUUCUUAGUACUUAUGCCUUAGGUAAGCAUUUCUUUUUUUGGACAAGUAUGCCUUACGUAAGCCGUAAGCAUAUGCUUGUCCAAAAUGUUCAAUUCGUCCUACAUUCUUGUCUCAAUUUAGAUACAUUUACACUUGCAAAUCUUCAUUUAUUGUACGUCCUACAAAAUUCAAGAAGGAAUAUCAUGUGUAGAGAAUCUUGGGCUCUUCAUAUGUGCAAAGAGCUACAAGCUUUGAAAGCUUUAAAUUUUGAGGAACAUAGAGAGCUGACUUUUGCGACUUUUUAGUGUAUAGUGAUUUCUGAAAGGUUUGACAGCAAGUUCUUUUUGUGAAGAAUAUCUUAAAAAAAAUCUGAUGAGAGUUGUAUAACUAGUUGGGAGCAUUCAUGUCUUUUAUCUAUAUUAGUCAAAUAGUCAACUUUAACUUAGGGCAAGGUACUUUGAUGCAAUUUGUUUAAUUUAAGUUAGCAUAAAAGGAUAGUCUUUUUAGAUUUAAGGUAUCAGAAAGUAAUAGAAAGAAUGGCAUUUUGCCUAGGGUUUAUCCCAUUAGAAUCGGCUUACAAAUAACUCUUUGUUUUGAUUCGCUUGGGCUAGGAUUGAAUCCUAAUCAAGGUUCUCGUUUAGAUUUUGACUCUUUGGGUAUUGUUGCUCUGAUUGCCUUGGGCUAGAGGGUAGAUUUAGUUCACUAUUUUCUACUUUAGAGGUUGUAUUAGGUUCUAUUAUGUGAACUUAAUCAAUCAUAACUAUAUUUAUUUGGUUCGUUGGAACUUUUAUUUGGUUUGUAUUCGGCUUGUUGUUGGAUUCUGAACCAGGUACUCAACAAGUUGGUGCUUUCAUUGAGAGACUUCAAUCUCUUCCAAGUUUAGUUCGAUUUGAAAUCAAUAGAGAUGUGUAACAACCAGAGUACCAACAGGGCAAUGUUUGAGGCAUUGCAGGUGGAUGGAAGACGUACGUCAUUGGAGGAGUUGACCAUGGUGGUGGCACAACUAACGAUGACCCUCAACGAUAUAAGGAGAUAGAAGGCUGAGUUGAAGAGAGAAAGUAGAGAGUUAGUUUUGAUUGGUGGAACGAAGUGUAGUGGAACAAACACUGGAGACAAGAGAUCCGAGAAGAUCUCAAGAUCCACAAGUUCAAGUAGCAGACAAAGACGGAGAAGAUAGAGAGAGAAUUAAGGUGAACUCACGAUGCAUGGUCAGAUCUAGGAGGAACAAAGAAGAAAGCAAAGCCGUUUAAAGAUGGCUAAAUGUUGAAGGAAAUCGAUCCAAAGCCUCAAGCCGAAGAGAAGUCAACAGGAAAGUCAAUACUAUGAAAAUGAUCGAGAAUAUAAAUACGAGGAAGUACCUGAUGACAAAACCGAGGACCCUAUGACUGAAGGCAAUACCAUGAAUUGUACACUUCAUCAACUAUCAAUGAUGGUGUUGAUUUGGUGAUAAAGAGCACGAUAUUUUUGCAAUUAACUCCCCUAACAUUACAUGAUUAUUCAAGCCAAUGCAUAUGCCUCUAAUAAUAUUUAUUGCGACGAGAUUCCUUUACAUUAA